rnacentral:rRNA from 1 species
CCUACGGGUGGCAGCAGUGAGGAAUAUUGGUCAAUGUGCGGGAGCCUGAACCAGCCAAGCCGCGUGUGGGAAGAAGGUACAGCGUAUCGUAAACAUCUUUUGUCAGGGAACAGAGGCGGGAACUAGUCCCCGGAUGAGGGUACCUGAAGAAAAAGCAUCGGCUAACUCCGUGCCAGCAGCCGCGGUAAUGCGGAGGAUGCGAGCGUUAUCCGGAUUUAGUGGGUUUAAAGGGUGCGCAGGCGGCCUGUUAAGUCAGCGGUAAAAGCCCGGGGCUCAACCCCGGCGCGCCGUUGAAACUGGCGGGCUGGAGUUGGAGAGAAGUACGCGGAAUGCGCGGUGUAGCGGUGAAGUGCGUAGAUAUCGCGCAGAACCCCGAUGGCGAAGGCAGCGCACCGGCUCCACACUGACGCUGAGGUACGAAAGCGUGGGUAUCGAACAGGAUUAGAUACCCCAGUAGUC